rnacentral:misc_RNA from 1 species
GUCUUUAAAAGCUGAGUUUCUCCAUCCAUACAACACUCAAAAAGCAAACACCUCUCUUUUUUGGGGUUUCUGUACAUUUUAAAGAACAAAAGUUUAUUUUUUUUCUACCAGGGAAAAAAGAGAGAAAGAAAGAGAGAAAGGGAUGGCACUAGAGGCUGUGGUCUAUCAACAAGACCUGUUUGGUCACAAUAGCAAAGAACUCUACAACUUGCUAGGAGGGAAUUGGAGCUAUGACCAUAGCCUGGAAAAGGAAGAUGCCAAAGCGUGCUCUUUUGAUAAUUUUCUCCACAACCAAAAUGAAAAUUUCCUUCAUGGGGGUUGGAACUCUUCCUCACCACCUCCCAUGUUCCCUCAUUUUAGUGAAAUGCUUCAAAUUAACCCAUCCCCAGAUGCUAACAAUGCUAAUAAUGGACUUACUUCGACUCCAGCUGCUACUGACUUAUUGCCUGAUCAUCACUUAUUGGGUCACUCCUCAUCAACCAUCCCUGCUCGUGCCAAGAGACGUCGAUCUAGGACUAGAAAAAACAAAGAAGAGAUCGAGAAUCAGAGAAUGACUCACAUUGCAGUGGAGCGCAAUCGAAGAAAGCAAAUGAACGAGUAUCUCUCCGUUCUUCGAUCUUUAAUGCCUGAGUCUUACGUUCAAAGGGGUGACCAAGCAUCAAUUAUUGGAGGAGCCAUUAAUUUUGUGAAGGAGCUGGAGCAGCGAUUGCAAUUACUUGGUGCCCAGAAAGAAACAAGUGAAAAAUCUGAUGGUGUUGAAGCCUCUUCGCUGCCUUUCUCUGAAUUCUUUACAUUCCCACAGUACUCUACGAGUUCAACUCGGUGCGAAAACUCGGUGGCAGCAAUGAAUGAAACAAUGAGUGCGAAACAGUCUACUAGCGUAGUUGAUAUAGAAGUGACCAUGGUGGAGAGUCAUGCAAACCUCAAAAUAAGAUCGAAAAGGAGACCAAAGCAGCUGCUGAAGGUUGUUUCUGGGUUGCUUACUAUGCGUCUGACCAUCCUUCACCUAAAUGUCACAACACUUCACCAAAUCGUACUUUAUUCUCUAAGUGUCAAGGUUAGUUCAUUAAUUAAUUUUUUUAAAAUUAGUUAAUAAAAAUUUAAAAAAAAGAACCCAAGAAAUAAUAGUUGGUUUGGGAAAAAAAAUAGAAAUAAUAGUUGGAAGCAUUUUUUAUGGUGGAAUUUGAAUGCAGGUGGAAGAUGACUGUAAGCUGAGUUCAGUGGAUGAAAUUGCCACAGCAGUGUAUGAGAUGCUAGGUAGGAUUCAAGAAGAGUGUUCUACGAUGAAAUGAUAAAAUUAUUAAGUUCUAUUUUUAUUUUGUAAUUUGGUUAUCUUUCUUUUCUGGCUUUGCCUUAGUAGAUGAUCAUAUGUGGGCAUUUAAUUUCUUGAUUUUUAGGCUGCUGGCCUUUGAAAGGCUCACUGCAACUAAUGUCUCUCUUCCAUUUCAUCUUAGUGUUAGCUUGUUCAGCUACUGCUCUAAUUUGGAGGUUCCUGUUUCUUUGCUUGCAACUGUUUUCACCUUUUGCCUUUUUCUGGUUUACCAUAGAUGAGCAUCUUGUGUAUGAGCCACACAUAAAUGCUUGGUCAAUUCAAACCUUCUUUCAUGUUUUGCCAAUAAUAUUUUUUAUUUAUAUUAAAUUAUAAUCUUCUUGUACUAUAUAUAUACACCCACAUAUAUCAACAAUUUAUAAUGGAGUAUGUUCUCAAAUGGGCCAUGGAUGUGAAACUUUAUGCCAAU